rnacentral:lncRNA from 10 species
CAAAUCAAAACCACAGUGAGAUAUCAUCACACCCCAGUUAGAAUGGCUAUUGUCAAAAAGACAAAAAAAAAUAACAAAUGGUGGUACGGAUGCAGAGAAAAUGGAACUCUUAUACAUUGUAGGUGGGAAUGUAAAUUAGUACAGCCAUUAUGAAAAACAGCAUGGAGAUUUCUCAAUAAACUAAAAAUAGAACUACCAUAUGAUCCAGCAAUCUUACUGCUGGGUAUGUAUCAAAAAGAAAGGAUAUCAGUAUAUCAAAGAGAUAUCUGCACUCUCAUGUUUAUCACAGCACUAUUCACAACAGCCAAGAUAUGGAAUCAAUAUAAGUACCCAUAAACAGAUGCAAGGAUAAAAAAAUGUGGUAUAUAUACACAACAGACCACUAUUCAGCCAUAACAAUGAAAGAAAUCCUGUCAUUGGUGGAAACAUGGAUGAACCUGGAGGACAUUAUAUGAAAUAAGCCAGGCACAGAAAGAUAAAUACCACAUAUUAUCAUUCACAUGUGGAAGCUAUAAAAGCUCAUCUCAUAGAAGUAGAGUGUAGAAUAGUGGUUACUAUUAGGAUGGUGCAAAAGUUAUUGUGGUUUUUUUUUUUCAAUUAAAAGUUAAGAGAAUAUAGGGAAAGGAAUGGGGUGGGAAAGGUUGGUUAACAGAUACAAAAUUACAGCAAGAUAGGAGGAAUAAGUUCUAAUGAUCUAUAUAGCAAUGUAGGGUGACUACAGUUAACAAUAAAUAAUUAUAUAUUUUCAAAUAGCAAGAAAAGAUUUCGAAUGUUCCCAAAACAAAGAAAUGAUAAAUGUUUGAGGUGAUAGAAACACUAAUUACUCUGAUGUUUAAAACUAUACAACUUUUAGAAGAAAACAUAUGGGUAUCUUUGUGACCUUGAAUUUGGUGAUGAAUUCUUAGAUAUGACACCAAAAGCACCAGCAACAAAAGAAAAAAAUAGAUAAAUUGGGCUUCAUUGAAAUUAAAAACUUUUGCACAUCAAAUGACAUCAUCAAAAGUGAAAAAACCUACAGAACAGGAGAAAAUAUUUGCAAAUCACAUAGCUAAUAAGGGGCAUGUAUCCAGAAUAUAUAUAUUUUAAAACUCCUACAAUGCAACAAUAACCAAAAACACAAUUAAAAAUGAGCAAAGAACGUAAACAUACAUUCUCUAAAAAAUAUACUCAAAUGGCCAAUAAGCACAUGAAAAGAUGCUCAACAUCAUAAGACUUUCGGGAAAUGCAAAUUAAAACCACAAUGAUAUACUACUUCACACCUCCUAAGAUGGCUAUUUAAAUAAUAAUGGAAAAUAACAAGUGUCACCAAGAAUGUGGAUAAAUUGGAACCCUUGCAUAUUGCUGACGGGAAUGUAAAAUGGUACAGGCACUGUGGAAAACAGCUGGUAAUUCCUCAAAAAGCUAAACAAAUCAUACAACCCAGCAAUUCCACGUCUAGGUAUAUACCCAAAAGAAUUUAAAUCAGGGACUCAAACAGAUACUUGUACUCCAAUGUUCACUGCAGCAAUAUUCAUAAGAGCCAAAAGAUGGAAACAACCUAAGUGUCCAUCAACAGAUGACACCUCAUGAACAAUCUAGGAGAUGACUUCGCAUCCCACAAUUCCCAUCCAAGGAGAGACCAUCAACUUUGUGCUUUGACACAAAUACGUACACACCCCACACUCACCCUUCUCUUUAGCUGAUGUUGGAAAAUUCCAUAGCCAUCAACUGAUUAAGUGUGUGCUCCACAGGGCAUUUGAGACACAGAAUUAUUUCCAAAGGGUCUGGUCCAAUUGUAUUUUGAUGAUCUCCAACACUGAGAGUAGUACCCACAGCUGGUAUUACAGGCUACAGGAGUUCUGUGGAUUAAAAAAUGUUAUAAAGAACUUCAAAAAUCAUCUAAAUUGAAGUUUCACAUUGCAAAAAAACUACCUUGCUUGUUUCCCUUAAUGCACAAGUGUAGCUAACUGUGCUUCAUUUAAACUUUUAGAUGUACCACAAUAGAUUCACAACUGAUCCUAGUAGAAAUUAAACUACAGAUAGCUAUUAAAAGUAGGGAUCCAUUACACCAUAUUGAGAUUUUCCACUUUAGACCUUCCCCUAAAUGUAUAAAAAGUUAGGAGAGGAAGGUCAACAGAAAGACCAUUUGUAUACUGAUCCUAAUAUUUAUAUUUCCCAAUUCUGGGCAGUAAAUUAACAGUAAAAGAGGCAGGGGGUAGGAGAGGCAGAGGUGACCCCAAAAUCCUAAACUAUACAUUGU